UCGAUUAGAUACCCGUGUAGUCCUAGCCGUAAACGAUACUCGCUAGGUGUCAGCCACGGUGCGACCGUUGUCGGUGCCGUAGGGAAGCCGUGAAGCGAGCCACCUGGGAAGUACGGCCGCAAGGCUGAAACUUAAAGGAAUUGGCGGGGGAGCACUACAACGGGUGGAGCCUGCGGUUUAAUUGGAUUCAACGCCGGAAAUCUCACCGGGGGCGACAGCGAUAUGAAGGUCAGGCUGAAGACUUUACCGGAUUAGCUGAGAGGUGGUGCAUGGCA
rnacentral:rRNA from 1 species